rnacentral:rRNA from 1 species
GACGUAGGGGGGCGAGCGUUGUCCGGAAUCAUUGGGCGUAAAGGGCUCGUAGGCGGUCUGUUGCGUCGGGGAGUGAAAAUUCACAGCUUAACUGUGAACUUGCUUCCGAUACGGGCAUCACUUGAGUUCGGCAGGGGAGACUGGAAUUCCUGGUGUAGCGGUGAAAUGCGCAGAUAUCAGGAGGGAACACCGGUGGCGAAGGCGGGUCUCUGGGGCAUGUUCUGACGGCUGAG